GAGGAUGAACAGCCACACUGGGACUGAGACACGGCCCAGACUCCUACGGGAGGCAGCAGUGGGGAAUAUUGGACAAUGGGGGCAACCCUGAUCCAGCAAUGCCGCGUGUGUGAAGAAGGCCUGAGGGUUGUAAAGCACUUUCAGUGGGGAGGAGGUCGUAUAGGUUAAGAGCUAGUAUGAUGGACGUUACCCACAGAAGAAGCACCGGCUAACUCCGUGCCAGCAGCCGCGGUAGUACGGAGGGUGCGAGCGUUAAUCGGAAUUACUGGGCGUAAAGGGUGCGUAGGUGGUUAAUUAAGUUAGAUGUAAAAACCCUGGGCCUAACCUGGGACUGAGAUUUAAUACUGAUUAACUGGAGUAUUGGAGAGGGUAGUGGAAUUUCCGGUGUAGCGGUGAAAUGCGUAGAGAUCGGAAGGAACACCAGUGGCGAAGGCGGCUACCUGGCCAGAUACUGACACUGAAGCACGAAAGCGUGGGGAGCAAACA
rnacentral:rRNA from 1 species